UACGUAGGGGGCGAGCGUUAUCCGGAAUUACUGGGCGUAAAGCGGCACGCAGCGGGUUCGCCAAGUUUUUGGAGUGACAGUUGUCGGCUCAACCGACAAAGGACUUUCAAAAACCUGGUGAACUUGAGGACGGAGAGAGGAACAUGGAACUCCAGGUGUAGUAGUGAAAUGCGUAGAUAUCUGGAAGAACACCAAUGGCGAAGGCAAUGUUCUGGCUCGUUUCUGACGCUCAGGUGCGAAAGCCAGGGGAGCGAACGGG
rnacentral:rRNA from 1 species